ensembl:lncRNA
UCUAUUGCUGAAGCUUGCAAUGACCAACAACAACUUUCUACAUCAGGAGGUCAAUCUGGCGCUUGAUGCCAUGGUGGAAAAUUGCAGCCAUGGACGGAUUCUGAGCGCUCUGUUUAACACAGGACUGACCCAUCGCUGUGUUGCAGUGAGGAAUAGCACGGCUCAACACCUGCACCAGCUGGCUGACAAACUUGGAGCAGCCGUCACCCUGAAAACAGGAACCUUCACUGAAAGAUUUCUAAUUGCUGCCUCUAGAAUGGCAGGGGAUGCUGCACCUGAAGCCAGGUACCAUGGGCGAACAAUCAUUGAGAAACUGACCCUUCACAAGGACUUUAUGAAUUUGUGGGUGAAGAUUGUCCCUGAAAAAGACAGGCGUCCUGUGGAGAAGAGCCUGAAAAAGACAGGCGUCCUGUGGAGAAGAGCCUGAAAAAGACAGGC